rnacentral:rRNA from 1 species
AAGCGGCGGAGCAUGCGGAUUAAUUCGAUGCAACGCGAAGAACCUUACCAAGGCUUGACAUAUAGAGGAAAAGUGCAGAAAUGUACUCCCCGCAAGGUCUCUAUACAGGUGGUGCAUGGUUGUCGUCAGCUCGUGUCGUGAGAUGUUGGGUUAAGUCCCGCAACGAGCGCAACCCUCGUCCUAUGUUGCCAGCACGUAAUGGUGGGAACUCAUGGGAUACUGCCGGGGUCAACUCGGAGGAAGGUGGGGAUGACGUCAAAUCACCAUGCCCCUUAUGUCUUGGGCUUCACGCAUGCUACAAUGGCCGGUACAGAGGGCUGCAAUACCGUAAGGUGGAGCGAAUCCCAAAAAGCCGGUCUCAGUUCGGAUUGAGGUCUGCAACUCGACCUCAUGAAGUCGGAGUCGCUAGUAAUCGUAGAUCAGCAACGCUACGGUGAAUACGUUCCCGGGCCUUGUACACACCGCCCGUCAAGUCACGAAAGUCGGAACACCCGAAGCCGGUGGCCUAACCGUAAGGAGGGAGCCGUCGAAG